UACAGAGGUCCCAAGCGUUACUGAGAAUCACUGGGUUUAAAGGGUGCGUAGGUGGUCCGUUAAGUCAGUUGUGAAAUCCCCGGGCUCAACCCGGGAACUGCUUCUGAUACUGGCGGACUUGAGGCCAGUAGGGGUCACUAGAACUGACGGUGGAGCGGUGAAAUGCGUAGAUAUCGUCAGGAAUGCCGGUGGUGAAGACGGGUGACUGGGCUGGUUCUGACACUGAGGCACGAAAGCGCGGGGAGCAAACAGG
rnacentral:rRNA from 1 species